rnacentral:rRNA from 1 species
UAGGGAAUCUUCCGCAAUGGGCGAAAGCCUGACGGAGCAACGCCGCGUGAGUGAUGAAGGUCUUCGGAUCGUAAAACUCUGUUAUUAGGGAAGAACAAAUGUGUAAGUAACUAUGCACGUCUUGACGGUACCUAAUCAGAAAGCCACGGCUAACUACGUGCCAGCAGCCGCGGUAAUACGUAGGUGGCAAGCGUUAUCCGGAAUUAUUGGGCGUAAAGCGCGCGUAGGCGGUUGUUUAAGUCUGAUGUGAAAGCCCACGGCUCAACCGUGGAGUGUCAUUGGAAACUGGCAAACUUGAGUGCAGAAGAGGAAAGUGGAAUUCCAUGUGUAGCGGUGACAUGCGCAGGGAUAUGGAGGAACACCAGUGGCGAAGGCGACUUUCUGGUCUGUAACUGACGCUGAUGUGCGAAAGCGUGGGGAUCAAACAGG